CGUCGUCGCGGCGGCCAAACCGAGGAUCGGUCGCGCCGUGUAACAGUCGUACCCCUCUCUCGUCUCGUAUAUAUCGGUAUAUACCUUCCCGCCCCCCUCUCCCCGUCCCCUCGUGCCAACGUUUCCACGAUCGACCGUGCUUUAUUUGUCUCUCUCUCUCUCUCUCUCAUUCUUUCUCCUUCGUCGCCCCUUCGUCUCGUUAUCCGAGUGUUCGUGCGCGCGGUGGUGGAGGACAUUGACGAAUCGGACACCCUCGAUACCAACGAACCGAAAAUUCCGCCACGUUUUCAACUCGAGGAGGAGGUGACACACUCGUCGCGGCACACCGCCUCCUGGCCUCUCUCCGCUCUGCCUCCUGCUGCUCGUGGCCUUGUUUGUUUGUUGUUCAUCGUUGUUGGUGUGGAAGAGUGUAGUAGAAGAGGAGAAGGAGAAGGAGGAGGAGGAGGACUGUUGCAUUUAUCGGUUGUUCGCGCCCGUUGAUUGGUCUUGUUUGCUGUUUCUUUGUUCCGUUUUCCGUUCUUUUUUUUUUUUUUUGUUUUUUUUCGCCUCCGAGUGGCCCAGGUGAAACAAGUGAAACGAACAACGUUUCGGGGAAAGGAGAGAGAAAGGAAGAAGGAAAGGUGUGAUCUGUUGUGAUCCGAUCGAGGACGAGGACGCUGGACACGGGUGGAUCUUGGGGUGUCUUGUGCGGUGGGGAGCUUCUUCGAUUUCUGCCAGCCUCGUCCCGUCCACCUCUACUUCCUGUAGCCAGAUCCAACCGUUGGAUCAACGUUAUCUAGCUGUAGUGGCUAAAAUAGCACAGGAAGUAAUGGCGGUCGAAGGAAGAACGGCCGCGUGUCGCGAUAAAAGCGAACGUGACGCUCGAAGAAAUCACGAUGCGACUUUCUCAAAAUAGCAGAGUUCGAGAACGAGAACGAGGACGACGAAGAUGGAGAGGGCGAGGUAACGACGAGGGUGGAUACGACGAAGAAUCCAUCGAAGACUCGACCACGUGGUGUGUCGUUUUUUUCUCGAUUAAAAUGCGGGGUUAGAACAGUAAGAGGUGCGAAAGAGAAUGAUUGGGGAACGAAAAGUAUUUCUAUUUAGAGAAGAGAAAGUUAAUGGAAGUUACAAGUACAAAAAAAUCUUGGAAAGGAAAUCCAUCGAAUUUCAUAAUAUUCCUCGCGACUCGAAAUUCGAAUAAGAUUACGUUUCUACGUUAGGAUUAAUUUCCAAUUGAUAUUUUAACGUAAAUUAUUGUUAUUAUUAUUAUUCCAAUUUUAAUCUUUAGCACGAGGUUAAAGUUUAGAGACGCAUGAAAAUCAUUAAUUAGAGGUAUCUCCAAUGGGGAGAUGGGUGAAAAGGAGAUGCGGAAAGUUGGAAUAAACCAACUACUCUCCAUUUCCGGUUCAAAAGAGACAGGAAUAAGGGGGCGCUCUAAAGGGGCGCGUUAAAAACUCGCGGGAAGAAAAGAGUAACGGGAAAAGCGGCGUGGGGAAAACGCGAAAGGAAGGCACGAAAGGCAGCGGCAUCUCUAGAGGAAACGAAGGAUAGAGAGAGGCGUGUAGGCCUCUGAAUGAAAGAAAACCGAAAGAGGCGUGGAGGGAAAGAGGGAAGGGAAGGGUGAAAAGGAGCGUGAAGGCACGCAAGAAGGGGGGAGGGGUGGAAACGGGCAAAAAGCGAGGAGAGUCUGCAUCACCUUGCAUUCCACUUGACGGCACUUCUGCGUCGUCGCCCGCUACUUCUUUCUGCUCUCGGCUCGCGCACCCUCCCUCCUCCACCUUCCUCUCUUUUCCGUGUCGCAACGACAGGAAGCCGGAUCCGAUGGGGGGAAGUUUCGAAUCGAGUCCGGGUUUAAGCAGGCGCGGCGCGCAUCGACGAUCACGAAAAGAUGAUCUUUUGGCGCGGCGACGAGUUUUCUCGCGCUGCCGCCUCCCCAACGAAUCGGCCACGCGGUUCUCACGCGCCUUUCGAACGCGAGCUUUAUCAAAUGAUCCGAUCCUUUCAUGAAAAUUUAACGAAACGCGACGACGAUCUGCGUAGAUUUUGCGAAAGGGGAUACGGUUGUUAUUUAUGAGAUGGAGAGUUAUCGAUUGAAACAGGAUUGAAAUGAUUUUUCUCCGUGAAUCGAGUAUCAGUUUCAUCUUUGAGAA